rnacentral:tRNA from 1 species
GCCUGGAUGGCUCAGAUGGUUAAGUGUCUGACUUUAGCUCAGGUCAUGAUCUCACAGUUCGUGAGUUCGAGCCCCACAUUGGGCA